rnacentral:tRNA from 1 species
AAAAUCCGUCGACUUUUAAAGUCGUGAGGGUUCAAGUCCCUCUAUCCCCA